rfam:Hordeum vulgare subsp. vulgare, WGS project CAJW01000000 data, contig: morex_contig_2157496
AUGAUACUCCCUCUGUCUAAAAAUACUUGCGAUAGGAAUGAAUGUAUCUAGAUGUAUUUUAGUUAUAGAUACAUCCACUUUUAUCCAUUUUUGGGACAAGUAAUUCCGGACGGAGGGAGUACAAA